CUGCUGCGCCCCGCCCCGCCCCCGGCCCCGCCCCCGCCCCCGCGCUCGGCCCCACCCUCAGCGCCGGCCCCGCCCCGGGCAAGAUGGCGGCGCCCAGCGAGUGCGCGAGGCCGUGAGAGGGCCAUGGCGGAGCCGGGAGCCGGGGGGGGGCCGCGGGAGCCCCCCCGCAGCCUCCAGGGGCUGCUGCAGCUGGCGGUGACGGCGAGCGAGCCCCGCGCCGAGCCCGCGGCCGAGCCGCGCGAGCCGCUCUCCGAGGAGCGGCGCGAGUGGCUGCGGGCGGCGGUGACCGAGGCGCUGAGCGGCGCCGGGGGGACGUGGAGCAGCUGCGGCGCUGCCUGCGGGUGCUGGCGGAGGAGGAGGAGGAGGAGGAGGAGGCCGAAGCCGAGGGGGAGGCCGAGGCCGAGG